UACUAAGGGGGCUAGCGUUGCUCGGAAUCACUGGGCGUAAAGCGCACGUAGGCGGCUUACUAAGUCAGGGGUGAAAUCCUGGAGCUCAACUCCAGAACUGCCUUUGAUACUGGUAAGCUCGAGUCCGGGAGAGGUGAGUGGAACUGCGAGUGUAGAGGUGAAAUUCGUAGAUAUUCGCAAGAACACCAGUGGCGAAGGCGGCUCACUGGCCCGGUACUGACGCUGAGGUGCGAAAGCGUGGGGAGCAAACAGG
rnacentral:rRNA from 1 species